rnacentral:tRNA from 1 species
CUUUGGGCUACAUACAAUCUGAUCUCUGUUUUGUUUCUUCUAUAGUUGUUUUCCCAAGUAAGCCGUU